GGUCAAAGGUUCUCACAUAGGGAUCGCCCUCCCCCAUGGGGGGUGGAAUUGGGUACCGCCUGGGACAGUUCGGGUUGUCUCAGCGAGGGCCACAUGUGACUGGGACCUGGAGGAGCACAAAAAGCUCUCCACAGCACAUAAGGUGCACCCACAAUUAAAUGCAUGCGGUCCCAGUCUCCUCUGGUUUGACUGGGAGACUUCUUGUAGCUCAUGUGGAAUGGAGGAACAGACAGAAGAAUUGGAAGGGACCCUGCGUGUCAUUAAAAAAAAAAAAAAGUGGAGUCUGAGAUAAAGGGCCCUGUCCUUUCCCCUGCGACGUUUAACAUGCACUGCAAUUUCUGAUUAAGAGGCAGUGUGAGCCAGAAGCAAGAAGCUUACCAGGCAGCAAUCAUGUCCUGGUCACCUCUGCAUCGCCCUGAAGGCUGAGCAACACCCAAGUAGUCACAAAACCUCUUCACUGACUGACGACGUGACGACUGUUUAAACCCAAAGUCUUCGCACCUGACGGCGAGUCUCUGCCUUUCUGAAGAUCUCGCGCGGACUUGUUUCACCCGACUCCUCCCAGCCACAUGGGGAGGGCAUGCGUCGUUCGCGGAACGGAGGUUUCUGUGAUCUCUUCUUUUUCCCUGAAACAUCCAUCACAAGCUGCAAAGAGGCUUCUGCGACGGAAACCAAGAACUCGGCGCAGAUCCUCUGGCUCUUGGGGAGGAAAUGUGCAUUCCUUACCUUAUGGAAAAUAGUGACUAUUUUUAAUUUUAAUCCUCUAAAAGUCAUUUAUUUUUAUUGUGCAUCUGUGUGAGUGCUUGCCUGCGUGCUUUUAUAUGCGCCACAUGGAUGCAGUGCCUAUAGAGGCCAGAAGAGGGCGCCAGAUCCCCAAGAACUGGAGUCAGGUGAUUUCAAGCUGCCAAGUGGGUGCUGGGAAUUGAACUCAGGACCUCUGCAAGAGCAGCCAAUGCUCUAACCACUGAGACACUUCUCCAGCUCCACUGCUGUUUUUUUUUUUUUUAAAUGUUGGUUAUGUUAAUGUAAAACUGACCAAGGCUGCUGUGGCAUGAACAGUGCGGACUUGUGUACAGAAUUUCUCUCUCAUUCAUGUUUGUCACUUGUCACUUCUGUGACAACAUCUAAGAGACAUUGGUUGGGUAUGCUGGCACACACUUUUAAUCCCAGCACCCAGGAAGCAGAGGUAGGUGGAUCUCUGUGGGUUUAAGGCCAGCCUGGUCUACACAGUGAGUUUUGAGCCAGCCAGGGCUAUGAAGUGAGACCCUUUCUAACAAGAAAACAAAACAAAACAAAACAAAACACAAGAGGGAAUAUGUACUGGAGCUGGUGAUUUUAGAAGUUCCAGGGUCAGUGGACUUCAUUGCAUUGCAGAUGAAUGGCUGGCAGAAAUGUCCCCUGUCUAUGUGCUAUCAUUAUUUCCUUGGCUUUGAAGAAGCUUUUUAGUUAGUCUCUCUUCUCUUCUCUUCUUUUGCUUUUUUGCUUUGACAUAGGGUCUUAUUAUGUAACUCAUGGUGGUGUUGAACUCACAAUCCUCCUGUCUCAGCCUUCUGAGUGCUGGUUUACAGGUAUGCCUCUGUACACUUGGUUACUAUAGAAGCUUUUUCAUUUGAUGCCAUCCUAUUGGUCAAUGAAAAUAUUUGUGCUUGCCAUGUGUGUGUGUGUGUGUAUGUGAACGUGUACGUGUGUGUUGUGUGUGUGUGUGUGUGUGUGUUUGCACCAAAUGGUCUCAAGGAUCAAACUCCGAUCACCAGGCUUGCUGGCAAGCCCCUUUAUCUGCUCAGCCCUCUUUUAAGAAGACACGGACAAUCCCUAGCUCUUGCAGUGUCUCUACCACAUUUCCCCCCUGUAAUUUCAAGGCUGUCUUUGGUUUCCAGCUGGUUUUUGCCCCAGGUAACAGAUAAGGAUCUACUUUCAUUUCACAUGGGGCUGCCCAAUUUUUCCAGAACCAUUUAUUAAAGAGGUUGUUUUCCUCCUU
ensembl:lincRNA